GACGAACCGUGCGAACGUUGUUCGGAAUCACUGGGCGUAAAGGGCGCGUAGGCGGCCUUCUAAGUCAGACGUGAAAUCCCCCGGCUUAACCUGGGAACUGCGUCUGAUACUGGGAGGCUUGAGUAUGGGAGAGGGAUGUAGAAUUCCAGGUGUAGCGGUGAAAUGCGUAGAUAUCUGGAGGAAUACCGGUGGCGAAGGCGGCAUCCUGGACCAUAACUGACGCUGAGGCGCGAAAGCUAGGGGAGCAAACGGG
rnacentral:rRNA from 1 species